CGCUGCCCCUCACUUGGCUGCAACUGGACCCAGAACUAGGGAAGAGGCCAGGGACAGAUUUUUUUUUUUUAUUUUUAUUUUUUUUGCCGAGGGACGUUUCAAAAUUUUGCACGGCCAGGGUGACAAAAAGAGGAUUUAAGAGCCACAAGCGGUCCGCACAUGACCCAGACUUCGUUCCUGUGCGGCUUCCAGAGGUGUUCAUGCAGAAGACUGGAUGCAGGACCCUUGGUGGCACCAGUGUGCAGAUGAGCAGAUAGUGACUGAUUGCCACUGGGGCUAUAACAAAAUAUAAUAAACUGGGUACCUUAGAAGCAACGGAAAUUGAUUUCUCAUCGUUCUAGAAGCUAGGAAGUUCACGAUCAAGGUAGCAGCAGAGUUGGUGCCUGCUCUGGAGGCUGGAAAUCCAACAACAGAGUGCCAGCAUGAUCAGGUUCUGGAGAGGACCCUCUUCCUGUUUGCAGACUGCUGACUUCUUAUUGUAUAUUCCAAUGGUAGAAAGAGAGCAAGAGAACUCUCUGGAGUCUUUUUUUUAUAAGGGUGCUAACCCCAUUUAAGGAGGUUUCCCCUCAUAAUCUAAUUAUCUCUCAAAAGCCAUACCUUUCAACACCAUUGCAUUGAAGGUAUGCUCACUCUUUCACUAACCUUGAGAGACAUUGUCAGAUGUGCAUAAGGGAAGAACAUGAAGGACGACGGAUAAACUGUACACAGACACAGCACAUGGAGUCUGAGUCAUUUGUUUUCUCUGACAGAUCUUUACCAUGCUGGAUUGGAAGAGAAAAGACCAUCACUAAAGCAAAUGGAUCAAAUGGAGUUAUAAAUCAACUCUGUACUCUACAGGAUUGACUCAACUGCAGACAUCUCCAAUACACUCCCUCAUGGCUUUAUUUUUUCUGCUUAUGUGGAAAAAUAACAGUAAAUACAGUUAACUAUCCCAAGACAGAAGAGUAUUAUUAAAAAAGAAUACAACGUUAUUGAUUUUUCAAGACAUAAUCAGAUAUUUUUAAACUCUGAUUUAAUAAAACAUAAUGUAAUUUC
rnacentral:lncRNA from 1 species